ACUGAUCCCAGAAGCCACGAGUGCCAGGCAUGGGAUACUUCAUUAUGAGCUGUUGGCCAGAGAGCCCCCAGAGGCUCCCAAACAAUACAGGCUAUUACUAUUGCUCUUGGAUGUAUACCAGAAUUAGAAGAAAGGCCCUGAGAGGUUCUCUGGAGUCUUCUGUGAACAUUAAUCACCUCCCUGAAUGCAUUCUGCCAUUUGGACUGGGAAGCUGGCCAAAGCAGGAGCAGGCACAGGGAGGAGGAGUUCUUAUCCUCAUGCUGAGGGUGCCACCAUGCUCCAACCUUCUUCCAACAAGCAAGAAUCUGAGAAAGAUGCAUGACAUUUGCUGAGUUUCCCUUGCAAGAUUUUGAAACUUCCAAUGUGAAUGUGACAUCAAGAGACCCAAGAAAAAUGCCUGUAUAUGUCCAUUCUCAUCUGUUUGAAGAUACCAAGUCUAAUAGUAAAGUCUAUCUGCACGGACAAGUGUCUUGAAGAAUAUACACAUUUGGGAGGAGAAAGUCUACAAUUGCAAUUCACUCCAAGAGUUAGAUUUGGCCCAAGAUGUUUAAAUAUAAUGGUUCUGAUAGAAAGCAUGGGAAACACCUAUAGAUGGUAGGAAACAAAGAAAGGACAGUGUACCAGUAUGCUAUUGAUGUACUGUGUAUGUUAAGCUUGGUUUUCUGCCUCACAUGUCUAUCAAUCAACUUGAGUUCAGCAGACCUGUGUAAAGCUCUGUAGACUUAGCUUCAAGCAUCAGGUAAGGCCCAGAGGUCGAGGCCCCCCCCCCUUGCUUUUCAUCCUAGGAUCAGCUACUAACGAUGCAUGAUGAAGACACUCAAAGCAUCUCCACUUGUCAGCUCCAAACUUGCUAUGUUUUCACCCCAUUCUUUGGGUUAGAGCAAGCCACACAGUCAGUCGAGAUAUUUAUGGAGGUCACAGACCAUCUUUAGCAAUCUCUGCAUGUAUUUUAGAUUCUGCUUUUGCACUUUUGUGGGUCCUCCUGGAGUUAAAAAAAACAAUGACUUUCAGAGUUCUGGGCCUUUAGGUCGUAUCAUCAUUCAUCCCCAUGUUUCUGCUCAUAUAACAUAAUUUUAUUCCUCAAAGGGUUCCCUUUCUCCCCC
rnacentral:lncRNA from 1 species